CCUACGGGAGGCAGCAGUGGGGAAUAUUGCUCAAUGGGGGAAACCCUGAAGCAGCAACGCCGCGUGGAGGAUGAAGGUUUUCGGAUUGUAAACCCCUUUUGUUAGGGAAGAUAAUGACGGUAUCUGACGAAUAAGCACCGGCUAACUCCGUGCCAGCAGCCGCGGUAAUACGGAGGGUGCAAGCGUUACUCGGAAUUACUGGGCGUAAAGAGAGCGUAGGCGGGAUAGCAAGUCAGAUGUGAAAUCCUAGGGCUUAACCAUAGAACUGCAUUGGAAACUGUUAUUCUAGAGUAUGGGAGAGGUAGGUGGAAUUCUUGGUGUAGCGGUGAAAUGCGUAGAGAUCAAGAGGAACACCCAUUGCGAAGGCGACCUGCUAGAACAUAACUGACGCUGAUGCGCGAAAGCGUGGGGAGCAAACAGGAUUAGAUACCCCUGUAGUC
rnacentral:rRNA from 1 species